rnacentral:rRNA from 2 species
UGCAGUCGAGCGACAGAUGAGAAGCUUGCUUCUCUGAUGUUAGCGGCGGACGGGUGAGUAACACGUGGGUAACCUACCUAUAAGACUGGGAUAACUCCGGGAAACCGGGGCUAAUACCGGAUAAUAUUUUGAACCGCAUGGUUCAAUAGUGAAAGACGGUUUCGGCUGUCACUUAUAGAUGGACCCGCGCCGUAUUAGCUAGUUGGUAAGGUAACGGCUUACCAAGGCGACGAUACGUAGCCGACCUGAGAGGGUGAUCGGCCACACUGGAACUGAGACACGGUCCAGACUCCUACGGGAGGCAGCAGUAGGGAAUCUUCCGCAAUGGGCGAAAGCCUGACGGAGCAACGCCGCGUGAGUGAUGAAGGUCUUCGGAUCGUAAAACUCUGUUG